rnacentral:misc_RNA from 1 species
GAUGAAGAACGCAGCGAAAUGCGAUAAGUAGUGUGAAUUGCAGAAUUCCGUGAAUCAUCGAAUCUUUGAACGCACAUUGCGCCUCCUGGUAGUCCGGGAGGCAUGCCUGUUCGAGCGUCACCAAAUCCAACUCAAGCGGUUUUGCGCUUGGUCGUGGCGGAAGAGUCGGUCUGGUUGCCGUCUCCCCUCCGAAAAUCAACGGCGGAAAGUCACUGGCAGUCAGCGUAGUAGUAUCGUUCGCCGAACAUCCAGUGGCAUUCCUGCCGGCGUACCCCCACAAUUCUCGUGAUUGACCUCGGAUCAGGUAGGGAUACCCGCUGAACUUAAGCAUAUCAAUAAGCGGAGGA